rnacentral:lncRNA from 1 species
GGAAAUGUAGCUGUUUCUAAUCUCACAGCACACACAUUGACCAGCAAACAGACUCUGAUGUUAAACGUGGGUUGACUUUCACUUCAUUCUCUUUCUCUGUAGCCUGGUUUUGUGAACUUACUGGACUACCCAGAACCGGACGUGUGCCUAAGGACGUCCAAAUUCAAUAAAAUCUAACAGAAUACGUGAUCAUUGGCUGGACAAUCCUGGACUUUGACAGACUGGCGGUUAAGAAAAGACAUGGCCCUAGGACCAUACCUCAGGACUACCUGGCAUGAUGACUCCUUGCUGUCCCCAGUACCUGGCUGUGCUGCUGCUCCAGUUUUAAAUGUUCUGCCUGCGGCUAUGGAACCCUGACCUGUUCGCCGGACGUGCUACCUUUUCCAGACCUUCUGUUUUCAACUCUCUAGAGACAGCAGGAGCGGUAGAGAUACUCUCAACGAUCGGCUAUGAAAAGCCAACUGACAUUUACUCCUGAUGUGCUGACCUGUUGCACCCUCGACAACUACUGUGAUUAUUAUUAUUUGACCAUGCUGGUCAUUUAUAAACAUUUGAACAUCAUGGCCAUGUUCUGUUAUAAUCACCACCCGGCACAGCCAGAAGAGGACUGGCCACUCCUCAUAGCCUGGUUCCUCUCUAGGUUUCUUCCUAGGUUUUGGCCUUUCUAGGGAGUUUUUCCUAGCCACUGUGCUUCUACACCUGCAUUGCUUGCUUUUUGGGGUUUUAGGCUGGGUUUCUGUACAGCACUUUGAGAUAUCGGCUGAUGUAAGAAGGGCUAUAUGAAUACAUUUGAUUUGAUAUUCGGAUAUUAGUAAUUGACUGACCAGGUCUCUCCAGAUCUGCCAACAAUGCUAUUUCUAUGGUCAAUUUUAGAUUAUUGUUAUGCUUUUUCAGCCAUUCCUGAACCUGAGACCAGGAACAGGCUACCUGAGGGCAAUACCUGAACAAAUGGUCUAUUGAUUCUGUAUCCUCACGAUACAAUCUGCAGAGCUGUGAUGAUUGUAUGUCACCGAAAUUCAAUAUUGUUUCGGUGGCAAGAAUUCUGUACAAUAAUUUUAGCCGAAAGGCACGAAAGGCACGAAGUCUUGAAUCUUGUGUCAUUUUAUAUAUCAGCUCAAACACCCUGUGCCAUGGAAUUGGUACAUAAAAAAUUACUUACCAGCUAUUUUGCACAGCUGCACAGGUGUCAACCUCCUGGUCCUUAAAUGAAACUGGUAAACUUUCCUAUUUAUGCUAUUUUUGUUCCUCUGACAGUUUUGGUCCUUUAUAUUGGGCAGACAGACCAGUUUCCUACAUCCUCCCGCUGCCACCUGCCUCCUCCAUUUUUGGGGUAAUGCUGUAAUCAAUUGGUUGUAAUAUUGGAUUGAGUAGACCUACCCAUACAAUUCCAAUAGCUCCAUAAAGGACAUAACUUUACCAUUCCAAUUUACAAUAUAAUUUAAAAAUUAAAAGGUAAAAUUAUUACCUUUGACUCAUUUCUCUCUGCCUCCUUCUUUCCACUCCUCUCCUCUUUUGGCCUCACCCUC